UACGGGGGGGGCAAGCGUUGUUCGGAAUUACUGGGCGUAAAGGGUUUGUAGGUGGCCGGCUAAGUCAGACGUGAAAUCCCUCAGCUUAACUGGGGAACUGCGUCUGAUACUGGAUGGCUUGAGUUUGGGAGAGGGAUGCGGAAUUCCAGGUGUAGCGGUGAAAUGCGUAGAUAUCUGGAGGAACACCGGUGGCGAAGGCGGCAUCCUGGACCAAUACUGACGCUGAGGAGCGAAAGCGUGGGGAGCGAACAGG
rnacentral:rRNA from 1 species